GCGGUUACCCCGCACCAAUGCAGACGCCUCCCUUCUCCUCCCCCUCGUAUGCGUGUCUCUGGGCGGGUAACAUUGGGGGGGUGGUCCCUAUAAGAGGGUGUAACCUAUGGCAGGUACAGGCAUUUGGCUCUUCACAUGUCAUCACUCCAUGCAGCACACUCGGAACUCACAGCCAUCAUUCCUUACCGACCACAGUGCAUUCAAUACACCAUGCCUCAUGCCUGUGCCACCUGGGUGCGCUCUCCUGACGGGCCCUGCACCCCUCAUUCUCCAGCCCUAGUCCCCGGCAGUGACCACCCCAAACCUGGGGUCCAUCCGGAGCUUCACUCUAGUGCCAGCGGCAAUCGGCAACCUGAUAACCAAUGUAAUGCAUGCCUGCUCCUGAUGAGCGACCAACAGUCGCGAAACGCGUAGAGCUCUUUACCUCAUGCAUUAAUGUAUUAUCACUGCAGUGUCAUGCGAUGUAAUUUCCAUUUUAAUAUGUGAUAUCUAUUUUAUGUCUCAAUAAUAUAGUACAGCUCGCUGUACUCAUUGCAUUUAUAUAUUUGGGUCACUGCCCACGUACCUUGUCCCCCAACUAAUCUGUGAAACAUAUAUGUUUAUCUAUUUCUUCAAUA